rnacentral:rRNA from 1 species
GACGAACGCUGGCGGCGUGCCUAAUACAUGCAAGUUGAGCGCUGAAGGUUGGUACUUGUACCAACUGGAUGAGCAGCGAACGGGUGAGUAACGCGUGGGGAAUCUGCCUUUGAGCGGGGGACAACAUUUGGAAACGAAUGCUAAUACCGCAUAAAAACUUUAAACACAAGUUUUAAGUUUGAAAGAUGCAAUUGCAUCACUCAAAGAUGAUCCCGCGUUGUAUUAGCUAGUUGGUGAGGUAAAGGCUCACCAAGGCGAUGAUACAUAGCCGACCUGAGAGGGUGAUCGGCCACAGUGGGACUGAGACACGGCCCAAACUCCUACGGGAGGCAGCAGCAGGGAAUCUUCGGCAAUGGACGAAAGUCUGACCGAGCAACGCCGCGUGAGUGAAGAAGGUUUUCGGAUCGUAAAACUCUGUUGGUAGAGAAGAACGUUGGUGAGAGUGGAAAGCUCAUCAAGUGACGGUAACUACCCAGAAAGGGACGGCUAACUACGUG